rnacentral:rRNA from 1 species
GCCGGGGCUUCUUAGUCAGGUACAGUCACUAUCUUCCCUGCUGAUAGAAGUUUACGAUCCGAAAACCUUCAUCCUUCACGCGGCGUCGCUGCAUCAGGGUUUCCCCCAUUGUGCAAUAUUCCCC